AGAGUUUGAUCCUGGCUCAGAACGAACGCUGGCGGCAGGCUUAACACAUGCAAGUCGAGCGCCUGUAGCAAUACAGGAGCGGCAGACGGGUGAGUAACACGUGGGAACGUGCCCAAAGGUACGGAACAACUCCGGGAAACUGGAGCUAAUACCGUAUGUGCCCGAGAGGGGAAAGAUUUAUCGCCUUUGGAUCGGCCCGCGUCUGAUUAGCUAGUUGGUGGGGUAAUGGCCUACCAAGGCGACGAUCAGUAGCUGGUCUGAGAGGAUGGCCAGCCACACUGGGACUGAGACACGGCCCAGACUCCUACGGGAGGCAGCAGUGGGGAAUAUUGGACAAUGGGCGAAAGCCUGAUCCAGCCAUGCCGCGUGAGUGAUGAAGGCCUUAGGGUUGUAAAGCUCUUUCGCCAGGGACGAUAAUGACGGUACCUGGAUAAGAAGCCCCGGCUAACUUCGUGCCAGCAGCCGCGGUAAUACGAAGGGGGCUAGCGUUGUUCGGAAUUACUGGGCGUAAAGCGUAUGCAGGCGGACUUUUAAGUCGGGGGUGAAAUCCCGAGGCUCAACCUCGGAACUGCCUUCGAUACUGGAAGUCUUUGAGUCCGGGAGAGGUGAGUGGAACUCCGAGUGUAGAGGUGAAAUUCGUAGAUAUUC
rnacentral:rRNA from 1 species